AGCGAACGCUGGCGGCAGGCCUAACACAUGCAAGUCGAACGGAUCCUUCGGGAUUAGUGGCGGACGGGUGAGUAACACGUGGGGACGUGCCCUUUGGUUCGGAACAACUCAGGGAAACUUGAGCUAAUACCGGAUGUGCCCUUCGGGGGAAAGAUUUAUCGCCAUUGGAGCGGCCCGCGUCUGAUUAGCUAGUUGGUGAGGUAACGGCCCACCAAGGCGACGAUCAGUAGCUGGUCUGAGAGGAUGAUCAGCCACACUGGGACUGAGACACGGCCCAGACUCCUACGGGAGGCAGCAGUGGGGAAUCUUGCGCAAUGGGCGAAAGCCUGACGCAGCCAUGCCGCGUGAAUGAUGAAGGUCUUAGGAUUGUAAAAUUCUUUCAGCGGGGACGAUAAUGACGGUACCCGCAGAAGAAGCUCCGGCUAACUUCGUG
rnacentral:rRNA from 1 species